CACAAAACUGGCGGGAUUAUGGAAACGCACCGAUGCUUUUCUCUAAAGAGCACCACCUUCUUGAGCAAAGAAUAUUACGAUAAUUAGACAGGUUUUAUGUAGGCUACAUUGUGAACAAUGCUGCUAUUGAAAUGGACAUAAUCUUGUGUACUAAGAGUUUUAUGUAUCCUAUAAUUGUAUAGGCGUCAUGUAUCCGACUGCACAGUCACGUGGACAACAUAUGUCAAGACCAAUAACUUCACCUGAAUAAGCCUCUCCCACAGAUGCACUGCACUACGUUGACUGGCCAUUGUUGUGACAUUUCAUAUUGAUUGAAUGGCUCACUAUGAUAUGAUCAAUCUGAAAAUCAAUCCUUUGGCGUCUACAAGUAGUUCCAACCUGACCAUCCAUGUGCGAAUGUUAUUCGGAUUGAAAAUGCGUGUUGGCGAUGUAAUUCUUCAGGAAUCUUCAGGUAUUCUGAAUAUCAGCACAGAAGGUGCUUUUACACUGUGAACAAUCAGUCAGCACAGCCAUGGCCUCCGUCGGUGGUCUGUUGCCAAGGGGAAUAGUCCUGGCUGAAGGAUAGAGAGAGAAGGGGAGAGAGAGGGAGAGAAAAGGCAGCCUUGCGGUGCUGAAGAAGAGAUGGUCAUCACUGACAGGAGCUCCAGCACUCCUGGGCCCAAGAACAAGGAACCGAAGAAGAGGGCAUCCCGCCCCCAUGGCCUGCCCUCCCCGGCGCUGUGCUGCGCGUGUGGCUUGUGCAUCAUGCUGGCAGGCAUCAACAUCACCCUGGUGGGGGCGUUUGCCUUCAGCACCAUGGUGCCCUCUACCAACCCUCCCAUCAUCAUAGGGCCCAUCCUGCUUCUGGUGGCCUUCUCUUUCUUCGGGGCGUGCUGUGUCUGCAGCCGCCUGCCCCCUGCCCAGGGCUCCCGGAGGUCUAAGGUGGGCGGAAGGAGCAUGGGGAUGAUGGGGCGUGGAGGUUUAGCCGGGGGAGUGACGUUUGAGAUUGAGACGAGUGAGCACACAUUCCAGGACACGACAGCAGUACAGCUCAGCCCCUCAGCCUCACCUGGGUCAUCCCGGGCAUCCAGCCCCGAGCGGGAUGCUUCUCCUGACCCCGCACCCCCAGGGGCCUUCAAGCUCUUCACCAUGGAGACCAAUGGCCCCACCUCCGCCACGGCAUGCUAUUCUGCCUCCUCGGCAGGGGGAGGGGCUGUGAGGCUCAACCUGCCACGUGAUGAUGUGGCCACCUAGCACUCCCCUGAUUAACACAUUGUAGCAUGAGCCUCCUGCCCCAGGGGACUGACGCAAAACUAUGUAAAUGUGGGCUGUGACGGUCAUGGAAUUUUGGAUGACGGUUGUGAUACAGCCUGGAAUCAAACCAGGGUCUGUAGUGACACCUCUAGCACUGAGAUGCAGUGCCAUAGACUGCUGCACCACUCGGGAGCCUUGAUGACAGCUUUUUACCCUCUUGACAUUAUCUCAACCAGCUUUUAGGUAGUCACCUGGAAUGCAUUUCAAUUAACAGGCUUGGUUGUUAAAUAGUGGAAUGUCUUUCCUCCUUAAUGUGUUUGAGCCAAUCAGUUGUCUUGUGACAAUAUAGGGUUGGUAGCCCUAUUUGGGAAACGACAGUCCAUCAUUACUUUAAGACAUGAUGGUCAGUCAAUCCGGAAAACUCCAAGAACUUUGAAUGUUUUUUCAAGUGCAGUCGCAAAAACCAUCAAGCACUAUGAUGAAACUGGCUCUCAUGAGGACCGCUACAGGAAAGGAAGACCCAGAGUUACCUCUGCAGAGGAUAAGUUCAAUAGAGUUACCAGCCUCAGAAAUUGCAGCCCAAAUAAAUGCUUCACAUAGUUCAAGUAACAGACACAUCACAACAUCAACUGUUCAGAGGAGAAUCAGGCCUUCAUGGUUAAAUUGCUGCGAAGAAACCACCACUAAAGGACACCAAUAACAAUAAGAGACUUGCUUGGGCCAAGAAACAUGAACAAUAGACAUUACACCAGUGAAAUCUGUCUGUUGGUCUGAUGAGUCCAAAUUUGAGAUCUUUGGUUCCAACUGCCGUGUCUUUUGUGAGGCGCAGAGUAGGUGAACGGAUGAUCUCCGCAUGUGUGGUUCCCACUGAGAAGCAUGGAGGAGGAGGUGUGGGGGUACUUUAAUGGUGGUACUGGUACAUUUAUUUAGAAUUCAAGGCACACUUAACCAGCAUGGCUACCACAGCAUUCUGCAGUGAUACGCCAUCCCAUCUGGUUUGCGCUUAUCAUUUGUUUUUCAACAGGACAAUGACCCAACACACCUCUAGGCUGUGUAAGGGCUAUUUGAUCAAGAAGGAGAGUGAUGGAGUGAUGCAUCAGAUGACCAGGCCUCCACAAUCACCCGACGUCAACCCAAUUGAGAUGGUUUGGGAUGAAAUGGACCGCAGAGUGAAGGAAAAGCAGCCAACAAGUGCUCAGCAUAUGUGGGAACUCCUUCAAGACUUUUUGGAAAAGCAUUCCAGGUGAAGCUACAUUGGGAAGAAAGUAUGUGAACCCUUUAGAAUUACCUGGAUUUCUGCAUAAGUUGGUCAUACAAUUUUUAUCUGAUCUAAGUCACAACAAUAGACAAACACAUUCUGCUUAAACUAAUAACACACAAUUAUAUUUUUUCAUGUCGUUAUUGAACACAUCGUGUAAACAUUCACAGUGCAGGGUGGAAAAAGUAUCUGAACCCUUGGAUUUAUAACUGGUUGAUCCUCCUUUGGCAGCAAAAACUUCAAACAAACAUUUUCGGUACUUGUGGAUCAGACCUGCACAGUGGUCAGGAGGAAUUUUGGACCAUUCCUCUUUACAGAACUGUUUCAGUUCCACAAUAUUCUUGGGAUGUCUGUUGUGAUCCGCUCUGAGGUCAUGCCACAGCAUCUCAAUCGGGUUGAGGUCAGGACUGACUGGGUCACUCCAGAAGGCGUAUUUUCUUCUGUUCAAGCCAUUCUGUUGUUGAUUACUUCUGUCUAAUGGGUUCUGUUGCUUCACCUAACUUCUGUUGAGCUUCAAUUGGCGAACAGAUAGCCUUACAUUCUCCUGCAAAAUGUCUUGAUAAACUUGGGAAUUCAUUUUUCCGUCGAUGAUCGCAAUCUGUCCAGGCCCUGAGGCAACAAAGUAGCCCCAAACCACAAUGCUCCAUCCACCAUACUUUACAGUUGGGAUGAGGUUUUUAUGUUGGUGUGCUGUGCCUUCUUUUUUUUCACACAUAGUGUUGUGUGUUCCUUCCAAACAACACAACUUUAGUUUCAUCUGUCCAUAGAAUAUUUUGCCAGUAGCACUGUGGAACAUCCAUGUGCUCUUUUGCCAACUUCAGACGUGCAGAAAUGUUAGAUGUUAGCAUGUUCCAGAGAUUUUUGUACGUCUUUAACUGACACUCUAGGAUUCUUAACCUCAUUGAGCGUUCUGUGCUGUGCUGUUGUGGUCAUCUUUGCAGGACGGCCACUCUAGGGAGAGUAGCAACAGUGCUGAACUUUCUCCAUUUACAGACAAUUUGUCUUACCGUCAACUGAUGAACAUCGAGGCCAUUAGAGAUACUUUUGUAACCCUUUCCAGCUUUAUGCAAGUCAACAAAUCUUAAUCUUAGGUCUUCUGACAUCUGUUUUGUUCGAGGCAUGGUUCACAUCAGGCAAUGCUUCUUGUGAAUAGCAAACUCAACAUUUUGUGAGUUUUUUUUAUAGGGCAUGGCAGCUCUAACCAACAUCGCCAAUCUCAUCUCAUUGAUUGGACUCCAGGUUAGCUGACUCCCGACUCCAAUUAGCUUUUGGAGAAGUCAUUAUCCUAGGGUUUCACAUAAUUUUUCCAACCUACACUGUGACUAUUUAAAUGAUGUGUUCAAUAUAGACAAGAAAAAUAACAUAAUUUGUGUAUUUAUUAGUUUAAGCACACUGUUUGUCUAUUGUUGUGACUUUUUUUUAUGUCAAAUUUAUGCAGAAAUCCAGGUAAUUCCAAAGGGUUCAAAUACUUUUUCUUGCCACUGUAGUUGAGGGAAUGCCAAGAGCGUGCAAAGCUGUCAUCAAGGCAAAGGGUGGCUGUUUUGAAAAAUCAAAAGUAUAUUUUGAUAUUUUUAACACUUUUUUUUGUUGGUUACUACAUGAUUCCAUAUGUGUUAUUUCAUUGUUUUGAUGUCUUUACUAUUAUUCCAAAAAAUAAAGAAAAACCCUUGAAUGAGUAGGUGUGUCCAGACUUUUGA
ensembl:lncRNA